rnacentral:rRNA from 1 species
AUAUAGGUCAAGCUACAAAGGGCGCAUGGUGAAUGCCUUGGCAUCAGGAGCCGAUGAAGGACGUGAUAAGCUGCGAUAAGCUUCGGGUAGGCGCACAUAGCCUGAGAUCCGAAGAUCUCCGAAUGAGGAAACUCACAUGGGAAACCCCAUGUAUCAUUAAGUGAAUACAUAGCUUAAUGAAGGUAACCCAGGGAACUGAAACAUCUAAGUACCUGGAGGAAGAGAAAGAAAAAUCGAUUUUCUUAGUAGCGGCGAGCGAAAAGGAAAGAGCCCAAACCGGAAACUUGUUUCCGGGGUUGUGGACAUAACAUAAAAGUGGAGGCUAUUGUAACUGAAGAGAACUGGAAAGUUCCACCGUAGAAGGUAAUAGUCCUGUAAGUGAAACGAGAAGACCACGAGUUAUGAUCCAGAGUACCACGAGACACGUGAAACCUUGUGGGAAGCAGGGAGGACCACCUCCCAAGGCUAAAUACUACCUGAUGACCGAUAGUGAAGCAGUACCGUGAGGGAAAGGUGAAAAGAACCCCGGGAGGGGAGUGAAAUAGAACCUGAAACCGUGUGCCUACAACCGCUCAGAGCCCCUUAUGAGGGUGAUGAGGUGCUUUUUGUAGAACGAGCCAACGAGUUACGGUAUGUAGCAAGGUUAAGUACUUAAGGUACGGAGCCGAAGGGAAACCGAGUCUGAAUAGGGCGACUAGUUGCAUGCCGUAGACCCGAAACCGGGUGACCUAUCCAUGGCCAGGUUGAAGCGAGGGUAAAACCUCGUGGAGGACCGAACCACGUUGCUGUUGAAAAAGCAUGGGAUGAGCUGUGGAUAGCGGAGAAAUUCCAAUCGAACUCGGAGAUAGCUGGUUCUCUCCGAAAUAGCUUUAGGGCUAGCGUCGAGUAUGAGUAGUGGAGGUAGAGCACUGAAUGGGCUAGGGGGCAUAGCGCUUACCGAACCUUAUCAAACUCCGAAUGCCACAUACUUUGAGCUCGGCAGUCAGACUACGAAUGAUAAGAUCCGUGGUCAAAAGGGAAACAGCCCAGAUCGUCAGCUAAGGUCCCAAAGUGUAAGUUAAGUGGGAAAGGAUGUGAGAUUUCUAAGACAACUAGGAUGUUGGCUUAGAAGCAGCCAUUCAUUAAAAGAGUGCGUAAUAGCUCACUAGUCGAGAGAUCUUGCGCCGAAAAUGUAACGGGGCUAAACUUACCACCGAAGCUACGGGCUUGAACUUAGUUCAAGCGGUAGGAGAGCGUCGUAACCGGGCUGAAGUCGUACCGUAAGGAGCGGUGGACUGGUUACGAGUGAGAAUGUUGGCAUCAGUAGCGAGAUGUGGGUGAGAAUCCCACAGGCCGAAAACCUAAGGUUUCCUCAGGAAGGUUCGUCCGCUGAGGGUUAGUCGGGACCUAAGCCGAGGCCGAAAGGCGUAGGUGAUGGACAACUGGUUGAUAUUCCAGUACCACUACCAUCGUUAUUAUCGAUGGCGUGACGCAGGAGGAUAGUGUGUGCUAGCUAUUGGAUGCUAGUCUAAGCGUUUAGGCAGUGAGAGUAGGCAAAUCCGCUCUCAUAAUGCUGAGGCGUGAUGGGGAAGGUUCUACGGAACUGAAGUACAUGAUUCCACGCUGCCAAGAAAAGCGUCUAGAGAGAGAAGUAGUGCCCGUACCGCAAACCGACACAGGUAGGUGAGGAGAGAAUCCUAAGGCCGGCGGAAGAAUUACAGUUAAGGAACUCGGCAAAUUGACCCCGUAAGUUCGCGAGAAGGGGUGCCUACGAGAGUAGGCCGCAGAGAAUAGGCCCAAGCAACUGUUUAGCAAAAACACAGGUCUCUGCUAAAGCGUAAGCUGAUGUAUAGGGGCUGACGCCUGCCCGGUGCUGGAAGGUUAAGGGGAACACUUAGCGCAAGCGAAGGUGUGAACUUAAGCCCCAGUAAACGGCGGCCGUAACUAUAACGGUCCUAAGGUAGCGAAAUUCCUUGUCAGGUAAGUUCUGACCCGCACGAAUGGCGUAAUGACUUGGGCACUGUCUCAACUGUAAAUCCGGCGAAGUUGUAGUGCGAGUGAAGAUGCUCGCUACCCGCGAUUGGACGGAAAGACCCCGUAGAGCUUUACUGUAGCUUAGCAUUGAGUUUUGGUAUUGUCUGUACAGGAUAGGUGGGAGACUAGGAAACCAGGGCGUCAGCCUUGGUGGAGUCAACCUUGGGAUACCACCCUGACAGUACUGAAAUUCUAACUGGCGGCCAUGAAUCUGGUCACAGGACAUUGUUAGGUGGGCAGUUUGACUGGGGCGGUCGCCUCCUAAAAAGUAACGGAGGCGCCCAAAGGUUCCCUCAGAACGGCCGGAAAUCGUUCGAAGAGUGCAAAGGCAGAAGGGAGCCUGACUGCGACACCCACAAGUGGAGCAGGGACGAAAGUCGGGCUUAGUGAUCCGGUGGUACCUCGUGGGAGGGCCAUCGCUCAACGGAUAAAAGCUACCUCGGGGAUAACAGGCUGAUCUCCCCCAAGAGUCCACAUCGACGGGGAGGUUUGGCACCUCGAUGUCGGCUCGUCGCAUCCUGGGGCUGAAGUAGGUCCCAAGGGUUGGGCUGUUCGCCCAUUAAAGCGGCACGCGAGCUGGGUUCAGAACGUCGUGAGACAGUUCGGUCCCUAUCCGUCGCGGGCGUAGGAAAUUUGAGAGGAGCUGUCCUUAGUACGAGAGGACCGGGAUGGACUGACCUCUGGUGUACCAGUUGUUCCGCCAGGAGCACAGCUGGGUAGCUAAGUCGGGAAUGGAUAAACGCUGAAAGCAUCUAAGCGUGAAGCCAACCUCAAGAUGAGAUUUCCCAUAGCGUAAGCUAGUAAGAUCCCUUGAAGAACACAAGGUUGAUAGGUCGGGGGUGUAAGCAUGGUAACAUGUUAAGCUGACCGAUACUAAUAGAUCGAGGGCUUGACCAAAU